rnacentral:tRNA from 1 species
UCCCUGGUGGUCCAGGGUUGGGAUUCCAUGCUUCCACUGCUGGGGGCCCAGGUUCGAUCCCUGGUUGGGGAA